rnacentral:tRNA from 1 species
ACGGUAGAGUACUCGGCUUUUAAGUGCGACUAGAAUCCCGGGUUCGAAUCCCGGGCAACCCACUGUCAUUUCCAAA